AACGAACGCUGGCGGCAGGCUUAACACAUGCAAGUCGAACGCCCCGCAAGGGGAGUGGCAGACGGAUGAGUAACGCGUGGGAAUCUACCCAGUUCUACGGAACAACUGAGGGAAACUUCAGCUAAUACCGUAUACGCCCUACGGGGGAAAGAUUUAUCGGAAUUGGAUGAGCCCGCGUAAGAUUAGCUAGUUGGUGAGGUAAUGGCUCACCAAGGCGACGAUCUUUAGCUGGUCUGAGAGGAUGAUCAGCCACACUGGGACUGAGACACGGCCCAGACUCCUACGGGAGGCAGCAGUGGGGAAUAUUGGACAAUGGGCGCAAGCCUGAUCCAGCCAUGCCGCGUGAGUGAUGAAGGCCUUAGGGUUGUAAAGCUCUUUCAGUGGGGACGAUAAUGACGGUACCCACAGAAGAAGCCCCGGCUAACUACGUGCCAGCCGCCGCGGUAAUAC
rnacentral:rRNA from 1 species